rnacentral:rRNA from 1 species
AUUGAACGCUGGCGGGAGGCCUAACACAUGCAAGUCGAACGAGUGGCGGACGGGUGAGUAAUGUAUGGGAAAGUGCCUGAUGGAGGGGGAUAACUACUGGAAACGGUAGCUACUACCGCAUACCAUCGGAGGGGCCCAGAUGGGAUUAGCUAGUAGGUGGGGUAAAGGCUCACCUAGGCGACGAUCCCAAGCUGGUCUGAGAGGAAGACCAGCCACACUGGAACUGAGACACGGCCCAGACUCCUACGGGAGGCAGCAGUGGGGAAUAUUGCACAAUGGGAGCAAGCCUGAUGCAGCCAUGCCGCUUGUAUGAAGAAGGCCUUCGGGUUGUAAAGUACUUUUAGCAGGUAGGCGUUAUCUGCAGAAGAAGCACCGGCUAACUCCGUGCCAGCAGCCGCGGUAAUAC